CCUGGAAGGAAUAUAAGGGCUGCUGUCCAGUGUCUUUUACAUCACGCUUUGAGGUGGCUGUCCAGGAAACUACUGCCUUGAGAAAAUUGCACUCCAAGGGGAAGAGCCAAACUCGAAGAAACCAGAGCCGUGUGCCUUGGUACGGAAAUAAGUCAUAGAUUAUAUUCUUCCUCGAGUGAAAUACUAUUCCAACUGAAUAUUUAUAUUCUUCCCUCCACUAAAAUGCUAUUGAAAAUGAAUGUGAUUCUUGUGGGAAUUCGAACAUUGCAUAUUGUCCAGUUGACAGAGUCAUUUAUAAAAGUUGGGAUAUCUUAUACCCCAUCCGGGCUUAAUUAGAGUUUAUAAAGAUCACUGGCAGUUGCAAUAGAAAUAUUGUAUGUUUCCUCCCCCCGGUGACUUUCCCUAGUUCUUUUAUGAGGGCCUUUAAAACUCAUUUAAGUCUCGCUGAAGUUAUUCAUAAAGAUAGAUACCAGCCAUUCUCCGGGAGAGUCUGAUCCUCCGCACCUUCCUCUUCCCCCAACAUUUCUUGGAUAACUGCACACAGGUCAGUUCCAAAUUCUGUCGCUUCCCCUAAUAGGCUUUUCAAAG
rnacentral:lncRNA from 1 species